rnacentral:rRNA from 1 species
AUUGAACGCUGGCGGCAGGCUUAACACAUGCAAGUCGAGCGGGGUGAUGGUGCUUGCACUAUCACUUAGCGGCGGACCGGUGAGUAAUGCUUAGUUAUCUGCCUAUUAGUGGGGGACGACAUCUCGAAAGGGAUGCUAAUACCGCAUACGUCCUACGGGAGAAAGCAGGGGAUCACUUGUGACCUUGCGCUACUACAUGAGCCUCAGUCGGAUUAGCUAGUUGGUGGGGUAAAGGCCUACCAAGGCGACCAUCUGUAGCGGGUCUGAGAGGAUGAUCCGCCACACUGGGACUGAGACACGGCCCAGACUCCUACGGGAGGCAGCAGUGGGGAAUAUUGGACAAUGGGGGGAACCCUGAUCCAGCCAUGCCGCGUGUGUGAAGAAGGCCUUAUGGUUGUAAAGCACUUUAAGCGAGGAGGAGGCUCCUUUGGUUAAUACCCAAGAUGAGUGGACGUUACUCGCAGAAUAAGCACCGGCUAACUCUGUGCCAGCCGCCGCCGUAA